GACGAACGCUGGCGGCGUGCUUAACACAUGCAAGUCGAACGGAAAGGCCCUGCUUUUGUGGGGUGCUCGAGUGGCGAACGGGUGAGUAACACGUGAGUAACCUGCCCUUGACUUUGGGAUAACUUCAGGAAACUGGGGCUAAUACCGGAUAGGAGCUCCUGCUGCAUGGUGGGGGUUGGAAAGUUUCGGCGGUUGGGGAUGGACUCGCGGCUUCUCCUCUUGUUGGUGGGGUAGUGGCUUACCAAGGCUUUGACGGGUAGCCGGCCUGAGAGGGUGACCGGCCACAUUGGGACUGAGAUACGGCCCAGACUCCGACGGGAGGAAGAAGUGGGGAAUAUUGAACAAGGGGCGGAAGCCUGAUGCAGCAAGGCCGCGUGCGGGAUGACGGCCUUCGGGUUGUAAACCGCUUUCGCCUGUGACGAAGCGUGAGUGACGGUAAUGGGUAAAGAAGCACCGGCUAACUACGUG
rnacentral:rRNA from 1 species